AAAAUUACUGAUGGCUCAUGAUUGUGAGGAUCAACAUUUGUGAACUUUCAACCCUAAUCUUAUUCUUUAGAACCAACAACACACAUAUUCCGACGUUAUGCUAUUAUUAGAGAUAAAGACAUUUUAAGACACAAACCUUUAUUUUUAUUUAUCAAAUUUUCUUUGCUCUUUUAAGGUUUUAUAUGUGUAUUUUAUCUAUGCAAGUAUUUUUAUCUUACAAAUAGUAAUAAGUCAGGUAUUUUACCUGGGGUCUAUGAGGGAGAAGUAUCUGAUGGCGCAUGUCGACACUAGACUCAGUCUGGAAGUGUGUGGAAGGGAGGUUUGUCUUUGGGUAACCAGCCUUCUCUCUCAAGUUGCUGAUUCCGCUGGAAAAAUUCAACUUUCCGGAUAUCGUCGAGUUGAAAAAGAAGAAAGAACAAGAAGAAUGGGAAAAGAAAAAAAUACCUCCUUGAUUCUUCUGUCCCUUCUUAAAACCAAGGAAAAAAUGAGUAGUACUCUUACAUGAAUAGACAUCAAUGGCACUUAUGAACUUUUUUUUUUAUUAUGCAAGCUAAUAGUACUCCUCAUGAUAACUACUCCAUUUUUUCCAUUUUAAAAAGAUAUAAAGAGCAAUACAAACUAAGCAAUAUACGUAAAUUACAUCUGAAUUGCUCAAAAUCCAAGACUAAUACAUAAAACCAAUAAUAAUUGCUUUGGCUCUGACUUAUUUUUAGCUAAUAAAAGAGGAAUUGGUUACUAAAAACCACAGGGCACAAACCUUACAUGCUGGUAUAAAAAGCAAGGAAUAUAUAAUAAUAUAAGAAUAAUAUAAGCAGGACUUUAUUUCCUGGUUAAAAUCAAGCAUUUUUUAAAUCAGCUAUUUAUUUGAACAAGGAUCGAUUAAUUCAAAAAUGAAAUACUAAGUGAAUGGGGAAAGAGUUGGGGAAAAUUGAAUUAAAUAUACAAAAGGUGUCAGUUUCAACUAAAUGACUUUACCACAUUCCUAAUUGAGAAUAAUAAAAUAAAAAAGCAAUCAUAAAAAAUA